CUAAGGUGGUCCUCCAGAAAUGUGCCAGAUUAACUUCCUGCCAUCAGCGUGUGAAAGUGACCACUUCCCACACCCUCACCAGCACCGAGCAGGUAAGCCAACGCUGUUCGUUCUGUCUUGUCUAACUUUCUAACACUUAUCUUUAACUUCUUAUGUUAUUCUUUAAAAGUGGUCUUUUUCGUGUCAUAAAUUCAAAUCGUACUGAAAUAUGAGAAGUAGAGAGGAGGUCUCCCUUUAUUCUGACCUCCCCAUAUUCCUCUAUGUGGAUGUAAGGUGACUUAUUUCACCGAGGCGAUGAAUGCGCUUGCCCCUUUAUCUCUGAUCAUUUAUGGGCAACUUUGUGCAGCAUACAUUUCAAGUGGGAUUAUGCCACCUGAUUCCUUUGGAUAGCUGCCUCCAAACUGCCUUCCAAAAAAUGUUGCAUUAUUUUACAAUUCUGUCAAAAGUGCACGAGAAUGCCCAUUUCCCCACAUCUGCAUCACCACUGGGUAUUACUGAUUUUUUAAUUUUUUCCACUCUUUGGGUAAAAAGUAUGAUCUCAUUCUUGUUUUAAUGUACAUUUCUUGUGUUUCUGAUAGUUAAUUGUUUGAUGUCCUUUUUUAUUUUUGUCAGAAAUGUCUAUGGAUUGUCACCUGUAGUGUUGGUUUAUCCACUGCAUUUGGAUUGAAAAAAUCUAGAAAACUGUUCCAACAUUUCUGAUCUUAAGACAAAAAAGCUUAUUCCACAUCCUAUUCUGGUUCCUGUCUUACUUUUAUAUUAAGUCCGAAAUAGAAUUUCCUUCUAUAUGUGCCCUCACACAGGCCUCUCUGUCUUAGAAACCAGACUCCCGGUUGCUUAAGGCAAAAAUCUUGAAGCCUUCUUUCAUUUUUCUCUUCAAGGCUCAGACAAGGCCAUCGACAAACGCUGUCGGCUCGAACUCGGGGACCGUCUGAAGCCAUUCGCUUUCCUCCAUUCCCACUGCUGCCUCCCUUGCAAGCCACUACGGGCCCUUGGAUAGAGUGGAGUCCUCUUUUCCACCCGGGCAGUCAGCACCUCAGCACCUAGCGUGGCCUUUCACGAAGGCCGAUCAGAUGACGCCCCUCUGCUCAGCCUGCUCUGUGCCUCCUGCCUCACCUAAGACAAAAUCCACACUUCCUGCCCCGGCUCACGAGGUUCACUACCGCUGCUUUGUCUCUGCUCCAGCCACGCUGGCCUUCUGCAAACCGUCAAGGUCAUCUCGUCUCGGGGUCCCUCAGCUCCUCCUUCCUCCAGGCAUCCUCCUUUCCUGGGGUGGGCUCCACAAUCCGCAGACGAUCCCUCCCACUGAUCACCCCUCGUUACUCUGGGAUAUUUUUAAACCCGUGGAUAUGACCUAUUUCUAAGCUCUAGGAGAGUCUGUUUCGUUUCAUUCCCUUCUCCGCUCCCAGUGCCCAGAGAGGUGCCUGGCAUAGAACAGGCUCUUGAUAAAUGUUGAGUUAACUAGUGAAUGGGUGGAAAGAUGCUACUUAUGCACUACUUUUGGAUGCCAGGCCUUUGUUUGUAGGGUUCCGGCAGGCUGCAAUACGUUAAUCUGUUCAGUCUGUUUUUUAGAGAUAAUUUCUAAACUUCUGUCCUUCAUGGCCGACGCAGAAAGCCUUUCUCAGCCUGAUGUGAUGUCUCCCUUCUUUGAGCCCCGUAGCGCCUCGUGCUUCUUGGAGACACCUAGUCCUUGCUGAGUAUGUCCUGGGCCUUUAAGUCUCUAAUUAAGUCCAACAGAAUUUCAGGGUCUUGACGACGUGUUUCCCCACCUGUUUCUUCCACAGCAGCCAGUAUGGCGUCACACACAGGCUGGGGGCUCUACGAACAUUUGCUCGAUUGAAACCGUUCUUGCUGUCAUUGCCUUGCGUAGCAUGUUGGGG
rnacentral:lncRNA from 1 species